rnacentral:rRNA from 1 species
UACGUAGGGGGCAAGCGUUGUCCGGAAUCAUUGGGCGUAAAGCGCGUGUAGGCGGUUCAGUAAGUCUGCUGUGAAAGUCCAGGGCUCAACCCUGGGAUGCCGGUGGAUACUGCUGGGCUAGAGUACGGAAGAGGCGAGUGGAAUUCCCGGUGUAGCGGUGAAAUGCGCAGAUAUCGGGAGGAACACCAAUUGCGAAGGCAGCUCGCUGGGACGGUACGCGACGCUAAGGCGCGAAAGCGUGGGGAGCAAACAGG